CCAAUUUUAUGAUCAAAAGACCUUUUUCCGAGGUAGUUGCUGGAUCUACAGCUGCUGAUUCGGCUUUUCCUCCUCUCCGGCAGAGGAAACAGCCUCCAUUAGUUACAGAAAAGGUGAUUAAGCAAACCAAUACAGCAGGCAGUGCUCCAGAACAGAUACACACAUAUGUUGAUAAGAAAGCAUCAAACAGGUUUCAGGGUAUUUCUGAUCAACUUGAUUCAAAUAGGAUUGGUUCUGAUAAUUUUCACAUGGGUAACCCUUUUGUACGGAUAGGUAGUAAUGUUAUAUCCGUAAACACGAGUGCUGGUGAAAUGAUCUCAUCAAAAGCAUCCUUGAAGAAUGUCCCAGCUUAUUUUGGGUUUGAGUAUGAGUGUCCACAUGGACAUCGUUUUCUGCUGAAUCGAAAGUAUCUUGAUGAACUUGGGUCAUUGUAUUCACCACAAAACGAUUCUGACUUUUCUCCAUCGGAUGUGACUUCUGAGUCUAGUCAAUUGGAUGAGAAUGGUGGUCAUAAUAAAGUUCAAUUGGGCUCAGAUGGGAUAGCAUCCACCAGAAAGAAGGUAAAAAUAUGAACAAAUCAAAAGACCCCCUGGCCAAUGGUAAUCUAGUGCAUAAUCAGUCAACAAACUUACCUGGUAAAAGAAAAGAACAUUAUCAGACAACAAGCAGGUUGUCAAGAGCUCCUGAGUUUGUGGAAGACUUGGAAAAACGUCUUCAAUCCGUCAGCCUUGAUGAUGGUGGCUGCACAUCCUCUCUCUUGAACAGGAAAUUACCUAUAUAUAUGAACUGUCCACACUGCAAGUUCUUGAAGAAGAAGGAUACAUCAAAUGUUCAAUUUGCUAGCACUGUAUCACAGCUCCAAAGGAUUUUUCUGGUUACUCCUCCUUUUCCAGUCGUAUUAGCCAUUGAUCCAGUUGUACAAUUUGAGGCAUCUUGUCUACCUCUAUCCAUUCCUGAUUGUGGACAGAAAUUGCAAUUCAACCUUGGAUGUCAAGUGAUUUUACCAAUGGAGAGCUUUCUUGUGCUUAGGCUUCCUUUUAUCUAUGGCAUACAACUUGAGGACCAGUCGUUGCAUCCUCUUAAGCCCUUCGAACAUCAGCCUGAGAAAACUGCCUGGAUAAAAGAAUGCACGACUUUGAUGAUUGUGUCCAAGGAAGGUGGCCCUACUGAAGGGGAUUCUGCACUAGAUUGAAUUAACCGAUACUCUAUAAUGGCUGCUAAAGUGGUUCUCUUCUUGAAAUCGACAGAGGCAACUUGUGCUAAGAGCUGCACCUAGGCGUGAUUCAAUUGUACCUGGUAAAGACUGCCUAAUUGAUUUUUGCAAUGUCUGAUGAGAUGGUAACAUUUGAGUAUGCACACAGAGUUGCCAGGCUAUACAAGUCCCUGGACCUCUCUGUGGUGUGUGCAUCGGAGGGGUGAAUCAGAAGGAAGCUAAGCUGCAUCAAGAUGUUAUCUCCAUAACUUAAGCUUCCCAAGAAAUCGGCACCAGCACAGAUACUCCGAUCCCACUAAGUGGAAGACCGAGUAAAGCCACCACAGAGCUGUACAGGAGUUGUAUCAAGCUAGAAGAGUACAUUUUGGAAUCGCUACUCCUUUUCUUUCGUCCCUUUACAAGAUGUAAUGUUGCAUACUAAGUGCUAUAAAUGUUUAGCUGCUGUGACACUUAACUAAAACUUGAAUGCGGAAUCACGGGAACACUCGUUACUUUCGUCUGCAGAUUUUAGAUGAUGAAUUCAUUCCUUCCUUGAUCAAUCAA